GGAGCGGGGCGGGGCCUUGCGUGGCGCUUCCCCGUCCGCUACCGCGCAGGCCCCGGUGCGCGCGCAGCCCGCGAGGCGGGGCCGUGUCAAUGAGGCCUACUCCCAGCUUUUUCCUCCCGGAGGCUGAGACUGCGCCGUUGAAGCCGGUUCUCUGUGCGGGGCCGGCGCUGGGCCCAGCAAAGACCCGUGUUCCCCGAGAGAGACCGAGCAGACCCUGGGGGCCCGAGUCCCAGCAAGGCCCGAGCCGAGCCAGUUUCUCCAACUAACAGCCUGAGAGCGCUCUUGGUCCUGGCUGUUCAGACCCCAGACGAAUUUACCCCUUCUUUGUAUGGGGUGGGCCUUCAGAGUUUGAAGGAAGUGAAGCUAGCCUCGCUCACUCCAGGGCCUCUUCCCACCCUGACUCGCCGGUUCCUGACGGUGGCCCGCUGUUCCGGGGCCACGGCUGAGUCCCUCUGCGCCAGCCUCCCGGUGGCGGGCCAGCCAGCCCUUCUCUGUGCUGUGAGAAGAUGGGGGCGCCCGGACGCUCCAUCUUUCAAAAACACCAUUCCACUGAGGACCCUGCCUGUGACGGGAACCAGUCUAACCCACUCUGGAUCGCACGUGCCUGGCAGAGGGACAGCGUUGUGGAGGAACACUUUCCAGGCCCACCAGCUUCCACCAUCCAUUGCUAGGCAGUACCUCUCCCACCGUGACAACCACGCGCUUUUCUUCCCUCUCUCAAGGGGCAGGCCCACGCCACUUGAGAAUAGCAAGCUGACAGGGAGAGCCCUCUGGCUUUAAGAGGGGAGAGGGACAGGUUUCUGAACAGUACAGUCUCAGCAGCAGGAGCGCGCGCAUGUCAAGGGUCCCUCUCUGCUCCCUGACAAGCAGGGAACUUCUAAUGUCUCUCCUGGCUGUUUUAUGAUCUCCCAAACAAUCAGGCCAAAGAAAAUUGAAGAGGAGGGAAUACUUUCAAGCUCUUUUGAUGAGGCCAUGAUUACCAUGAUACCAAAGCCAGACAAAGAUACUAGAAGAACACUACAGACCAAUAUUCCUUAUGAAUAUUGAUGCCAAAAUCCUCAACAAAAUACUUGCAAACUGAAUUCAUAGCGUAUUAAAAGGAUCAUACGCCAUGAACAAGUGGGAUUUAUUCCCAGAAUGCAAGGAUGGUUCAGCAUCCAAAAAUCAAUCAAUGUAAUACACAUGUUAACAGAAUGAGCAAUAAGAACCUACAUGGUCAUCUCAAUUAAUGUAGAAAAAGCAUUUAACAAAAUUCAACACCCUUUCUUGAUUAAAAAAUUAAAUACACUAGGAAUAGAAGGAAACUUCCUCAACAUAGUAAAGGCCAUAUGUGAAAAGCUGACAGCUAAAAUCCUACUCAAUGGUGAAAAGCCGAAAGCAUUUCCUGUAAGAUGAGGAAGAAGGCAAGGAUGCCCACUCUCCCUACUUCUAUUCAACAUAGCACUGGAAGUCCUAGCCAGAGCAAUUACACAAGAAAAAGGAAAAGAAAAAAAAAAGGCAUCCAAAUUGGAAAAGAAGUAAAAUUAUCUGUUCACAGAUGACAUGAUCUUAUAUCAUCAUGUAAGAUCAUCAAGAUAUAGGAACCCUAAAGAGUCCACAGACAUAAAACCACUCCAAAACCUAUGAAUUUGGCAAAGAGCGAGAUACAAAAUCAACAUAUGAAAAUUAGUUUUGUUUCCAUACACUAACAAUGAACAAUCUUAAAACAGCCAGGCGCAGUGGCUCACACCUGUAAUCCCAGCACUUUGGAAGGUGGAGGGAGGCGGAUGGCCUGAGGUCAAGAGUUCGAGGCCAGUCUGGCCAACAUGGUGAAACCCUGUGUCUACUAAAAAUACAAAAAUUAGUCAGGUGUGGUGGCACAUGCCUGUUAUCCCAGCUACUUGGGAAGCUGAGGCAGGAGAAUCACCUGAGUCUCACAGGUGGAGGCUGCAGUGAGCCGAGAUCAUGCCACUGCACUCCAGCCUGGGUGACAGAGCAAGACUCUGCCUCAAAAAAACAAAAAACAAACAAAAAAAUCUAAAAAGGAAAUUAUGAAAAAAAUCCAUUUAUAAUAGCAUCAAAAAGAAUAAAAUACUCAGGAAUAAACUUAGUCAAGGAGACAAAAAACUUGUACACUGAAAAUGGAAAACUACCAAACUUUGCUCAAAGCAAUUUAAAAAGAGACAAAUAAAUGAAAAGACAGCCUGUGUCUGUGGAUUAUAAGACUUAUUGUUAAAAGGUCAAUCUCUUAAAAGCAAUCUACAGAUGUACUGCAAUCCUUAUGAAAAUCUCAACAUUGUUUCCUUGCAGAAAUAAAUUUUCUAAAGGAAAAAUCCAUUCUAGAAAACACGGAAUCGCAAGAGACCCCAAGUAGCCAAAAUAGUCUUUAAAAAAACAAAACAGAAAAUAAUAAGUGUUGAUGUAGACGUGGAGUAACUGGAACUCUUUUUCAUUCCUGGUGGGAAUGUAAAAUAGUAUAGCCACUGUGGAAAAUGGUAUGGCAGUUCCUCAAAAAAUACAAAAAUUGAAUCACCAUGUGAUCCAGCAGUUCCACUUCUGGAUAUAUACCCAAAAGAAGUGAAAGCAGGGACUCCAACAGUUACUUGCAUGCUAACGUUCAUAGCAGCAUUAUUCACAACAGCCAAAGGAUGGAUGCCACCCAAGUAUCCACUGGCAGAUGAAUGGAGAAACAAAGUGUGGUACAUACAUACAAUGGGAAUAUUAUUCAGUCUUAAAAAGGAAGCAAGUUCUGACCCAUGCUACAGUAGGCAUGAAACUUCAGGACAUUAUGUUAAGUGAAAUAAACUGGUCACAAAAGGACAAA